AACGACAUGUCGACUUGAGCGGUUGUGCCCUUGAGGCGUGGCUUCCGGAGCUAACGCGUUAAGUCGACCGCCUGGGGAGUACGGCCGCAAGGUUAAAACUCAAAUGAAUUGACGGGGGCCCGCACAAGCGGUGGAGCAUGUGGUUUAAUUCGAUGCAACGCGAAGAACCUUACCUGGUCUUGACAUCCACGGAAGUUUCCAGAGAUGGAAAGGUGCCUUCGGGAACUGUGAGACAGGUGCUGCAUGGCUGUCGUCAGCUCGUGUUGUGAAAUGUUGGGUUAAGUCCCGCAACGAAAA
rnacentral:rRNA from 1 species